GUCCAGGGUGUCGCAAGAGAGAACCAGGGCCGUUAGGAGCAGCACGGCCCUGCUCAGAUUCACCGUCACUCUCCCUGAGUUUGAUGCCUGACCAUCCAUGAGGUCAAAGACCUGUGGGUCCGGGACUGGCACCAGGGCAGCAGGCUCCUGGGCUACAGGAACACAGCCAGGGUAGGGGAGGUCUUCGGAAAGUUCUUCUCGGAGGAGGAGAGAAGGUUCUUCAUCCGCACGGCAGUGCUGGCCAUCCACGACCCCCUGCUGCAUGUCAGCCAGGCUGAGCUGGUCCUGGCCUACUCCCUCCUGGGGGAAGCCCAGCAGCUGAUGGGGGACAAGCAGGAGGACGUCACGACCAAUGUGACGUGCCAGCUCCUCACCAUCCGGCACUUGUGCCCGGUGCCUGUAGCACAGCAGGGCCUGUGCCUCUGAGGCCACCAGCAACUCCUGCUCCCUGCUGCAGGCCCUGGGAUCUGGCACAGCCUCCCAGACGGGCGCAGCCUGCAGCUGAGCCACCUCAGGGAGCAGUGGGGACAGGUCACCUCAUCCCAUCAAAACAAGCAAUGCUGGCUGUCAGGGGGCUUAAAUGGAAGACCCCUCUGUCAUGGAGGAUGGCCAGGCUCCUGAGGAUGUUCAGUAAGAAGGCUCUGCAGGUGGCCCCAGAGCCUGAGGGAAGCAGCUGCCAUCUUCCCCAGGAGUGGAGCAGCCCCUCCAGAAGGAGCUCCCAGCCAGGCCAGGAGGUGGAAGUGCCCAGCCUUCCGGUGGAGAAACCUCGCUCCCGGCGCAGACGCUGAGGUGGGAGAGGCCAGGCGGAAAUGCAGCUGCCCCAGGAUGUGGCUGGGCAGGCAGGACGCAGCGCAGGAGGGAAGCCGGGCAGGGUGGCUCUGGGGCUUGUGUGGGAAGCACCGGCCCCAGCCCUUAUUCCCAGCAGGAGGCAUCGCCCUGCCCGGUCACUGAGAACCUUCCAGCCUCGCCAGGGCAGGAGGUGGAGGAUCCAUGUCCCACCACCAGCAGCUUGGCCCACUCCCCACAGGACAGCAGCAGCGCCUGGGACCCGAGUAGCAGUGAGGCCGAUGGGCACGGCUGGUUUGUUCAAGCACAUUAACUACUAGAUCGUGUCCAGGGUGUCGGAAGAGAGAGCCAGGGUCAUUAGGGUUAGCACAGCCCUACUCAGAUCCAUCAUCAGCCUCCUUGAGUUUGAUAGGGCCUGUGGGGAAGGAAACUCCUGGCCCAGAGGGUACUGGGAGCUGACAGGAAAAUGCUGAUGGAGUCCCUUCUCCCUCUCCCAUCCAUUAGAACUCAGUGGAAUUCCCCAGGAUGGGUCACUACGUGGCACAGCUGGCUCUGUCCCUCAGUGACUGAGCCAGGACAUCAGCCAGCAAGCCAGGGAGGGGGUUUCCUGGCUCUACCAGCUCCUGCUGCACCAGAGGGGCAGGCAGCGAGGACUCUGCCCACUGUGCAUCCACCAAUGGGAUUGGAAGGACACAAGCACUGCAACCAGAAGGACAAGUGUGUGUGUGUGUGUGUGUAUGUGUGUGUGUCUCUUUCCCAGGCCUGACCAUCCAUGAGGCCGAAGACCUGUGGGUGUGGGACUGGCACCAGGACAGCAGGCUCCUGGGCUAUAUAAACAUAGCCACGGUGCAGGAGGUUUUUGGACCCCUGUGGCUUUGCUUCAGCAAGUCUCCUUCUCGAGGUCUCUCUUGGAGGACUGAGAGAGUAUUAGGGUUCACGUAAAUGAGCAUGAGGAGAACCUCUUUCGAGUUUUCUCCUUUCUUUUUCCUGAUUGUACUGGAAAACAGCCAUCCCUAUUUAGAAGGAUGGCCAGGCUCCUGAGGAUGUUCAGAGGAAGAAGGCUCUGUAGGUGGCCCCAGAGCCUAAGGGAAGCAGCUGCCAUCUUUCCCAGGAGCAGAGCAUCCCUGUUGGCGGGGAAGGAGCUCCUGGCUGGGCCAGGAGGUGGAAGUGUUUAUCCUUCUGGUGGAGAAAACCCACUCCCGGCGCAGGUGCCGAGCUGGGAGAGGCCAGGCGGAAAUGGAGCUGCCCCAGGAUGUGGCUGGGCAGGCAGGACCCAGCGCAGGAGGGGAGCCGGGCAGGGUGGCUCUGGAGCUUGUUGUGUGGGAAGCACUGGCCCCAGCCCUGAUUCCCAGAGGCAUCGCCCUGCCCGGUCAGUGAGGACCUUCCAGGCUCCCCAGGGCAGGAGAUGGAGGAUCCCUGUCUCAGCACCAACAGCUCGGCCCGCUCCCCAUGGGACAGCAGCAGUGCCUGGGACUCGGGCAAUAGCGAGGCUCAUGGUUCAGGCUGGUUUGUUCGAGGGACCCCCCAGGGACUCAGAGGAUGAGGAGGAGGAAUGGGUGAAUGUGGCCACAGAGAAGGCUGCUCUCAAUAACCUGAGAGCAGCUCCAGGGCCGAGAAAAGGAGAAGGCCCAGCAGCUCAUGUUCCUAAACACCAUCCACCCCACGUGUCUUGCUGCACAGCAGAGAGGGCAGGACACACUGGAGCCGCACUGCUGCAAGUCUCACAGGAGGUCAUUGAGGAGCUGCCUGAUAACUCUCCACCCAGGACCUUCCUCGCUAACUCGCUGAUUGUUGAUCUGCAUAGCGUCAUGCCAGACCUCUUGGACACCGGCAGGCUCCACUACAUCUUGGAGCACAUUAACUACUGGAUCGUGUCCAGGGUGUCGGAAGAGAGAGCCAGGGUCGUUAGGAGCAGCACAGCCCUGCUCAGAUCCACCGUCACCCUCCCUGAGUUUGGUAACUCAGCGGAAUUCCCCAGGACGGGUCACCAUGUGGCACAGCUGGGUCUGUCCCUCAGUGAUCCAGCCAAGGACAUCAGCCGGCAGGCCAGGGAAGGGGUUUCCUGGCUCUACCAGCUGCUGCUGCACCAGAGGGGCUUGACCAUCCAUGAGGCCGAAGACCUGUUGGUCUGGGACUGGCACCAGGACCAGCAGGCUCCUGGGCUACAGGAACACAGCCACGAUGCGGGAGGUUUUUGGAAAGUUCUUCUCGGAGGGGCAGGGAAGGUUCUUCAUCCACAUGGCAGUGCUGGCCAUCCACGCCCCCCUGCUGUGUGUCAGCCAGGCUGGGCUGGUCCUGGCCUACUCCCUCCUGGGGGAAGCCCAGCCGCUGACUGGGGACAAACAGGAGGGCGUCAUGGCCAAUGUGAUGCGCCAGCUCUGCAUCAUCCGGCACUCGUGCCAGGUUACCGAGGCACUGCAAGGCCUGUGCCUCUGAGGCCACCAGCAACUCCCGCUCCCUGCUGCACGAGGUCAUUGAGGAGCUGCCUGAUAACAUUCCACCGGGCACCGUCCUAGCUAGCUCCCUGAUUUCUGUGGGCAACCUCAGCUUCACAUGUGUGUUGGUGCCAGUCCCACCCUCACACUGCACAGUCUAAUACCGGCUCCUGUCACUUGCCAGCACCAUGACACCUGCCCUGGAGCUGGAGACCCAGCUCCUCCGAGCUGCCCUCCACGCCGUCUUCACCCUGGGCAAGGAGAAGGACACCACCCAAGUCCAGGAUCUGCAUAGGGUCUUGCCUGACCUCCUGGCCUGCUGG